rnacentral:rRNA from 1 species
UACGGAGGGUGCGAGCGUUGUUCGGAAUCACUGGGCGUAAAGCGCGUGUAGGCGGCCCACUAAGUCUGAUGUGAAAGCCCGGGGCUCAACCCCGGGAGGCGGGUGGAUACUGUCGACCUCGAGUCCGGAAGAGGCGAGUGGAAUUCCUGGUGUAGCGGUGAAAUGCGCAGAUAUCAGGAGGAACACCAAUGGCGAAGGCAGCUCGCUGGGACGGUACUGACGCUGAGACGCGAAAGCGUGGGGAGCAAACAGG